GGUGGUAUAGCUCAGUGGUAGAACUUGUGCUUAACAUGCACGAGGUCCUGGGUUCAGUCCCCAAUACCUCCA
rnacentral:tRNA from 1 species